rnacentral:rRNA from 1 species
GCUGGCGGCGUGCUUAACACAUGCAAGUCGGAUGCGAACGGGUCCUUCGGGGCGCGAGUAGCAUGGCAGACGGGUGAGGAGCGCGUACCUGACCGGACGCAGGCAGGGGGAUAGUCCCUCGAAAGGGGGUUGAAUACCGCAUGUGCUCAUCGUGGUCGACACGGUGAGGAAAGGUGGCCUCUGCGUGCAAGCUGUCGGCCUGCGACGGGGGUGCGUCCUAUUAGCUAGCUGGUGGGGUAAUGGCCUACCAGGGCGACGAUGGGUAGCUGGUCUGAGAGGAUGAUCAGCCACACUGGGACUGCGACACGGCCCAGACUCCUACGGGAGGCAGCAGUGGGGAAUUUUGCGCAAUGGACGCAAGUCUGACGCAGCAACGCCGCGUGCAUGAUGACGCCUUUCGGGGUGUAAAGUGCUGUCGAGCGGGACGAAGGCGGGGUGGUGAAGAGCCAGCCCGGAUGACGGUACCGCUGGAGGAAGCCCCGGCUAACUCCGUGCCAGCAGCCGCGGUAAGACGGAGGGGGCAAGCGUUGUUCGGAAUUACUGGGCGUAAAGCGCGCGUA